rnacentral:rRNA from 1 species
UACCAGCACCCCCGAGUGGUCGGGACGUUUAUUGGGCCUAAAGCAUCCGUAGCCGGUUCUACAAGUCUUCCGUUAAAUCCAGCUGCUUAACAGAUGGGCUGCGGAAGAUACUAUGGAGCUAGGAGGCGGGAGAGGCAAGCGGUACUCGAUGGGUAGGGGUAAAAUCCGUUGAUCCAUUGAAGACCACCAGUGGCGAAGGCGGCUUGCCAGAACGCGCUCGACGGUGAGGGAUGAAGCUGGGGGAGCAAACCGG